ACUAGCCUCCGCCUUUCCCUUAGCUCUUAUCCGCUGCAUAUUAACAUGGAAUUUCUUUUGUUGCUGUUGUUGAGUUACAUUCGGGGCUACAGUCAAAACAUCCGGGGCUAAAGCCUCGGAAAAAUGACCUGGCGACGCCGUUGGACUGUAUUGGUGAGGGGCAUCACCGAUUUUGGUGGGUACAGGGAGCAUUAUCCAUCGCUGGAGGAACCCAUUGCAAUGUGAAAGGAGUACCCUCACAAGAAAAAUGAACUCACAAAAGUCUUAAAUAGCUUAGAAUACUGUAGUAACAAGUUUUGAAGAUGGAGGUUCUACAGACCCAGAGAACUGCUACAAGACAAACAAGUGGGAAGGGAGAGGAGCAGGAAGAUGGUUGUGUGCCUGUCUCUCUCUGACUGAAUUCUUCUUCUUCUUCAAAAAAAAAUGUAUUUCCUACGCACUAUAUUCCAGGACAGAGUGGAGACCUGGAUUGUACAUGACUGCUAAAAGGUAGCAGAGUGAGUUAAAGCAAACCAACAUGUUUUUUCAGCGAGGGUGCACUGAAGAUGGGGGAAGAGGAACAUGCACAGGCUGCCCAGCUGUAUGGAAAGCUUUAGUUUGAGGAGACAAGUGAGAGCCUGUACAAGAGGGAAUCCGUCUUGGAGCUAUUCACAUUUAUAUUUUAGAACACUGAAGAUGUGGACGUUUUGGGAAGAAAUUACAGAUAGCCAAGGAUUUGAGGCAUACUGUGAAUGUCAAGUGGUAAGCAACGAAGGACUUUGAAUACAAGUAUUAGUGCACUACUAUUGUUGUGAUAUGCUAUUUUUGCUUA